GACGAACGCUGGCGGCGUGCCUAAUACAUGCAAGUAGAACGCUGAAGGAGGAGCUUGCUUCUCUGGAUGAGUUGCGAACGGGUGAGUAACGCGUAGGUAACCUGCCUGGUAGCGGGGGAUAACUAUUGGAAACGAUAGCUAAUACCGCAUAAUAGUAGAUGUUGCAUGACAUUUGCUUAAAAGGUGCAAUUGCAUCACUACAAGAUGGACCUGCGUUGUAUUAGCUAGUUGGUGGGGUAACGGCUCACCAAGGCGACGAUACAUAGCCGACCUGAGAGGGUGAUCGGCCACACUGGGACUGAGACACGGCCCAGACUCCUACGGGGCGCAGCAGUAGGGAAGCUUCGGCAAUGGAAGGAAGUCUGACCGAGCAACGCCGCGUGAGUGAAGAAGGUUUUCGGAUCGUAAAGCUCGGUUGUAAGAGAAGAACGAGUGUGAGAGUGGAAAGUUCACACUGUGACGGUAUCUUACCAGAAAGGGACGGCUAACUACGUG
rnacentral:rRNA from 1 species